AAAAAAAAACAACCCAAAAAACUCAACAAAUUAAGUUUUUUGCUACUGUUUGCCUUGCUUUGCCCCCUGAGUUCCUGAAGUCUGAACUGAGGCUUCCUGGUCACUUGGACACUGCGUGGUGUACUCAGCCUGUGAUCCAGAGCCACCCCAAACCUGAAGCAGCAGUCCUUCUAAUCCUUGGAGCAAUGUCGGGUUUCCCUUACUUUUCAUGUUGAUACACAGCAGAAAAGCUGUGUGUCCUCUGUAGUGGUUCAAGCCUUUGUUCAUUCACAUGCUGUAAACCAAAUGGAAGACCAAGCUCUUCUUUUAGUGACAUCCAGCUUACAGUGUUUGUGCAACUGCAUCCUAAUCUCCUGCCGACACUAGAUGGCUGAACAUAAACCAGGGUUUUAAACAUUUUUAAUAUGUUAAUGAGUCUUCACCCCAGCAACAAGGAGAACAAGUGGCAAACUGCUUUGAAGCAAAAACAUUCCUGCAAGAGUUUCAACGCCCCCAUCCCCCACCUUAGAGCUAAAAGAGUUGUACCCAUACCCAGUAUACAGAAACCAGUUUGUUGAUGAGCAUUGGAAGGGUACGCAAAAAGCGUAUAUAAAAAUAAAAAUGCAGUCCUUCACCUCACCUCCACCUUAGAGUUUUGAACUGAGAUUGCUGCUAAAAUAGACAUAUUCUAACCUUCCAUCCUGACAAAAAAAUUACAAAUGACACGCUCUGAAAUUUUCACAUGCUUCUUCUCCCUGUAACCUGAUAUUUUCACCUGUCCUUCUCAACAUACUCUGCUGUCUGUUGUUGACAAUUGGGUUAGUACCAGACUGACAAUAUUCUGCCCAGUGCAUUCAACAAAACAAGACACUCUUCAAAGUUAACAGGGCUUUUUUUCCUAUGAAUGUUUUUACUGUGAGGCCCAAAUAUUGAUGUUUUGAGUGUUAUCCACUUAAAGAUUUAUAUGAAUGAAAGCUUAUAAAUGCGGGUCAUUGUGGUGCUCAUGCCUUUCUUUCCCACAGCAGCAACAAAUAAACAGUCAUUAACUCAGUUUCUUUUCCCUUUUAGAACUCAGGUUUUUUUUUUUUCAUUUCCAUUAAAGUUUUUUCUGUCCUUCAUAUUUUGAUAUUUUGAGGGUCUUUUCAUAUAUUAAGUGCAUUUUAAUGAUUCCACUGAAAAGAAAUCUUUCACAAUCUGUUUGAAUAACAACACAGUUUCACUUGCAUAUUACUGCAACACCCAAACAGCACUUUAGAAACAGAAAUACAAUGAACAUUAAUUUAUCAAAUCCACAAGGCUCAGGAUAUCUGUAGGUAUCAGGAGCUGUUCAAGGUAGGCAGAAACAACAAAAUGCAUUAGGAGAAAUGGAGAAGACUCUAAAAGUGUCAGAAGAUUUCCUCUCUCGUGUACAUCUUGAAAAUACUAUUUUUUAAAUAAAUAAAUAUAAAUAAAAUACAAACUGGUCUUUAAUACCACAGGUUGUCCAUUCAGUUUCUGCUUUCAUCUUUUUGUCAGAUUUCCUGACUCUGAGCUAACAUUAACAUGCUACCAAGACAGUAAUUUUGUACUUAAUAGUUUAUAUUGACCCAGAUUACACUUCAUGUAUCACAACUUUAGAGCAUUUUAUGGAUGCUGCCCUUUUUCAUUGUAUACUAGGUACUUUUAAGAAAAUACUUCAUUACCAGGAACAAAAAGUCUAAAAUGUAUUUAAGGUUGGUAAUUACUAUACUCUCACAUCAUCUAAAGUAGUCAAGUAAUUUAAAAGAAGGUUAUGAAUAGUGAAAGACCUCAUACAUUUUAUGUUGGCCUCAUAAUAAACACAAAUACAUUUUUGUUCUGAUUCAUCAUGGGCCACAAACAAAACAUGAACAUACAAAGCUACUGUUCAGAUAGUAUAAAUUGGCAUAGCAACUUAAGUGUUAGCUGAGCAAUGAUGAAUUACACCAUCUAUGCUUACAGUCAUUACAAGUUGAUUUCGAUACAAGUACACCAGCCUACAGACAAAUGACUAGCAGUGAGUAAGAACUAAAAGAAAGUAAGGGGGGAUGUUUAUUGUGACAAUUAAUUUCUGGAAUGUGUUUGUGAUUUUGUUUUUUACUGUACUGGGGGGAUUGUUGUUAAUUAAAUAUUUUUUCUUUAGAUAUAGAGAGAAGUGAGAAAAGUUACUAGUUAAGUUUCUCAGCUGCUGUAGAUUUGUCUGAACUUGCUGUUUCUUGAGAACAGUAUUUCAUUAUUCUGUUUCCUGAUGACAACAUGUUAUUAUGCUCCUUUUCUGUAAAUAAUACUUAUUAUGAUCUCC